AGCGGCGGACGGGUGAGUAACGCGUGGGUAACCUGCCUCAUACACAUGGAUAACAUACCGAAAGGUAUGCUAAUACAAGAUGAUAUAAGAGAUUCGUAUGGAUUUCUUAUCAAAGCUCCGGCGGUAUGAGAUGGACCCGCGUCUGAUUAGCUAGUUGGUAAGGUAACGGCUUACCAAGGCGACGAUCAGUAGCCGACCUGAGAGGGUGAUCGGCCACAUUGGAACUGAGACACGGUCCAAACUCCUACGGGAGGCAGCAGUGGGGAAUAUUGCACAAUGGGCGAAAGCCUGAUGCAGCAACGCCGCGUGAGCGAUGAAGGCCUUCGGGUCGUAAAGCUCUGUCCUCAAGGAAGAUAAUGACGGUACUUGAGGAGGAAGCCCCGGCUAACUACGUGCCAGCAGCCGCGGUAAUACGUAAGGGGCUAGCGUUAUCCGGAUUUACUGGGCGUAAAGGGUGCGUAGGUGGUUUCUUAAGUCAGGAGUGAAAGGCUACGGCUCAACCGUAGUAAGCUCUUGAAACUGGGAAACUUGAGUGCAGGAGAGGAAAGUGGAAUUCCUAGUGUAGCGGUGAAAUGCGUAGAUAUUAGGAGGAACACCAGUAGCGAAGGCGGCUUUCUGGACUGUAACUGACACUGAGGCACGAAAGCGUGGGGAGCAAACAGGAUUAGAUACCCUGGUAGUCCACGCCGUAAACGAUGAGUACUAGUGU
rnacentral:rRNA from 1 species